rnacentral:misc_RNA from 1 species
GAUGAAGAACGUAGCGAAAUGCGAUAAGUAAUGUGAAUUGCAGAAUUCAGUGAAUCAUCGAAUCUUUGAACGCACAUUGCGCCCGCUAGUAUUCUGGCGGGCAUGCCUGUCCGAGCGUCAUUUCAACCCUCAAGCCCCCGGGCUUGGUGUUGGGGAUCGGCGAGCCUCCGCGCCCGCCGUCCCCUAAAUCUAGUGGCGGUCUCGCUGUAGCUUCCUCUGCGUAGUAGCACACCUCGCACUGGGAAACAGCGCGGCCACGCCGUUAAACCCCCAACGUCUGAACGUUUGACCUCGGAUCAGGUAGGAAUACCCGCUGAACUUAAGCAUAUCAAUAAGCGGAGGA